ACCAAGCUGAAUAUCACAACCUUUGACCGCAUUCCUCAUAUGAUGGUUGAUUCUGCUGCUGAAAUUGAUAUACUGGCAAUCGUUCUUCGUUGUGGUCCUCAAAAAUACGCAGGUUGCAGUCAUCAUAAGUGUCAAGAAAUUACCCUUUGUGACAAUCAGAAAAAUUAGUUUCUCCUCACUCUAUGGGAGGAUUUCGGAGAAAUAGAAGGAAAUGAAAUUGCAGCUGAAAUGGCAACAGAGGCAGAUCUGAUUGUAAUCCUUGGAAGGAGUAUAGGAAUCUCUACUUAUCAAGGUACAUAUGCGC